ensembl:lncRNA
AGAGAAUGCAAGAGCGUGAGAGAUGAUGUGAAAAAUGUGAGAGGGAGAAUGUUGGAGAGAGACAGGACGUGAAAAUAAGUGAGAGAACGAGAGAAAAACCACGAGUGAACAUGCUGGAGAGCGCGAGGGAGAGAGAACGUAAGAGAGAGAGCGUAAGAGAGAGAGAGAGCGUGAGAGAGAGAGAAAACGAAAGAGAGAGAGAGAGAGAAAGAUAGAAUGUAAGGGAGAGAGAGCGUGAGAGAGAGAGAGAGAGAAAGAUAGAAUGUAAGGGAGAGAGAACGUGAGAGAGAGAGAGAAAGUGAGCGAGAAAAGGAGCUAGGACCAUUUUGUCGGCCAUUGCCUUUGCGCCAUGGCCGACCACAGCGCUGCCUCGGACGACCAGACUCUGCCCUCGAGCAGAGGAGGACUCUGGGAGCUGCUCCGCACCCCCUCCUCCACCUCCUCCUCCUCCUCCUCCUCCCCACCCACACCAGCUGACAUUGCUGCCUGCUUCACAGACCUGGAAUGUGAAGAAGAGGCGGUACGACCCCAACGCCUCGGCCAUCUAAGCCCCGCCUCCUGCUCCUGCUCCUCCUCCUCUUCCUCCUCCUCUGCCCGCCCCCCCGACAGGAGGUGGUGGCGCUAGUAGGGAGGGACCCUCCUCUCCCUCCCCCUGCUCCUCUUCAUCCUCAACGAGGCUUCCCAUUGGCUGGCUCGGGGCCAGCCGGACUGACCUUCGGCGUAAGAUUUACUUGAAGUAAAAAUAAAACACGCAAGAGGAUAAAAGAUAUAGCGGACAUUUUAACAAAUUCCACGGUAGUGGCGUAGAACUGCAGCCCCCCCUCUCUCCCCUCCCUCACCCCUCCUGAACCAAGUUCGACUAACGCUCCCCCAAAACAGAGUGAACAGAACUCCUCCUCCUCCUCCUCCUCCUCCUCCUCCUCCUCCUCCCUAGUGCCGGUGCACUGGCAUUCAGGCUGACUCCUCUUCCUCCUCCUCUUCCUCCUCCGACACCACCGCCACUCCUCCUCUCUCACCUGGCAUGACCCCCUCCUCCGCACACACACACACACACACACACACACACACACACACACACACACACACACACACACACACACACACACACACACACACACACACAGACACACACACACACACACACACACACACAUACACAUCUCUGCUCCUCCUGCAUUACCCUUUGGCAUGAGGGCGAGACUCUGCAUGGCUACACGACGCAAGUGAUUUACCGCAAACAAACCGACAAAAAAAAACAAUUUAAAUAUAUAUAUAUAUGAUUAUAUAUCAAGGAGGAGAGGGGAAAAUAAUAUGAAUCACGCGCCCGAGAGGAGAUUGGCUUUUCAUUAGUAAGUAAGCCCAUCCAAAGUUCUAGAUACUUCACUUAUAUAGGCGCCGUAGGUAAGGAGGCUAGGAGGCUAGGAGGCAGGAGAUAGGGAGGGAACUCACACACUUAUAAAAGGACACACACACAUGUACUCCCGCGUUGCCAGUCCGUAGAGGUGACAACGUGUCACCAGGCUGACCUGAAGUGUUGCUUUCAGCUCAGCGCUGCGGCUGGCGUGGACAAACAGAGAGGAUUUGGAGCACACCUAAAACGCUGGAACAGAGGAAGUGUGACAUCUUACAUGAUGAGGGUCAAGGGUCACAGCAGGUAGGAUCCACAGAGAACAGCGAGGGGGGGGGGGGAGAUAUCCGAUAUAAAGAGCCAUGGGCACUGACUACACAAGACAGAGGUCAGGGGUCAGAUUAUCAACCAAUCCCCUUCUCUUCCUCACCAACAUGUCCUUCCGAUGGUAAGUCAAAAGCCAAAGAACCAAUCACAGGAACGUAUGGAUGUUGACGCACGAAGAGCACUUUCCCCCCCGUCGCCCUGUCCUCUCUCUCUCUCUCUCUCUCUCUCUCUCUCUCUCUCUCUCUCUCACUCACUCUCUCUCUCUCUCUCUCUCUCUCUCUCUCUCUCUCUCUCUCUCUCUCUCUCUCUCUC